UUGGGAAGUCCGGGUUCCGGUCAGAGUCCAGAAAAAUGUGGGUGUUUGGUUAUGGGUCCCUCAUCUGGAAGGUGGAUUUCCCCUACCAGGAUAAGCUGGUUGGUUACAUCACAAACUACAGCCGGCGCUUCUGGCAAGGUAGCACUGACCACCGCGGGGUCCCCGGCAAGCCUGGAAGAGUUGUGACCCUUGUUGAAGAUCCUGGGGGCUGUGUAUGGGGUGUUGCUUACAAACUACCAGUGGGAAAAGAAGAGGAAGUAAAAACAUACCUUGACUUCAGAGAGAAAGGAGGCUACAGAACCACGACAGUCAUUUUUUAUCCGAAAGAUCCCACAACAGAACCAUUCAGUGUUUUGCUCUACAUUGGGACAUGUGACAAUCCUAACUAUCUUGGACCUGCACCUCUGGAAGAUAUUGCUGAGCAAAUUUUUAAUGCAGCUGGUCCAAGUGGAAGAAAUACAGAAUAUCUUUUUGAACUUGCAGAUUCUAUUAGGAAACUUGUGCCAGAAGAUGCAGACGAGCACCUCUUCUCUUUGGAAAAAUUAGUAAAGGAACGCUUAGACGGAAAAUAGAGCCUGGAUUGCACACACAGUCACCAACUCACCCAAAGAGGAAAGAGUUUUACUCUUCAGAAAAUAACAUCAGUAUAGAACAGCAGUAUGUUUUAGACAUUCUUACUUGAAGAUCAUACUAUUUAAUACUGUAAUUGGAACAUCAUCUAAAUUUAUGAUUUAUUUGCAAGUGUCCUAAAACAUAUUCAAGAGAUUUUAAUAAAGGAAAAGAAAGAGUUCAGGUUGUCUAAGUGAUUUCCUAUUUAUAUGACAUUUUAACAUUUGUUCACUAGAAAUACAGGUCUUGAUUAACUUCCUGUUUCUAUUAGAGUAACCAUGGUUUGUUGUAGAUAAGUUUAAAAUAAUGUUAUUAGAAAUAUAUGACAAGAGGUAAGGUUCCAGCAUUGAUUGUUAAUUUCCUUGUUAUUUGGAAUUAAAUGACCCUCAAAUUUAGGCCAAAAGAAAUUAGACUUUCUUAAUACUAAUUAUUCCUUUGGAAUUAUAAUAUAUUUUCUUCUCCUUUGGGGUAAAAAGGUAUUUUAUUACAAAGAAAAAUUAUAUAUAACUAUACAUAUAUCAAUUCACUAAUGAUAAUGAUAUUUAUUCUAUAUCUCAUAAUGAAACUUUAAAAUAAAAGAUAGGUUUUCUGGUGGAACUAUAAUAAAAAUUGUGUUU